CUUCCAAUAGGGCGCUUUCCCUUUAAUUCCCAAUUAAAUAGCAAGCAUUAGCUGCGCAAAAUUGGGGUUGUGAUGGAGGCGUGAAUGAGGAUGUGGUCAACCCUCAGUUCCGUUUGUUUUGUAGCUUUAAUAGAGUUUUACCCAAGACCGGAUCCACUCUUUGCGUCCGUGGACUACACCUCUCUGUUCUUCGUGGCCUUCCUCCGCUGGAGGUCUGUUGGCGGAUUGGAUUGUCUGACUGACCACAACCUUUUUGUAUACGUACGCUCUGUACAUUGCAAUGGAAGCAAAGUGUGAUUUCAUUCACUGAGGAGAACAUGCAGCAAAUUAGGCGACAAUGGUGCAUAGUUCUAGUUCUCCUGCAGAACAUUCCCAUGCCGUCUGAAGAAGAGAGGUUGAAAGAUGGAAAAAGACAGCAAAAACAAAACGCACUACAGGAAGGAGGAACCGAUGUUUAAAGACUUAACCCCCCCACCUCUUCAAUAUAUUUCAGGAUGAUGUAGAAGACAACCCCCCCACAAGAUGUCACAUCCGCAUCCAGCUCUGCAGGAUCAGACGAUACUGAAAACAAACUGCGUGGUGAACUGGGGAGCAGAUGUUCUUCUAAGGGACACCCUAGAGGCAGCAAGGUGGUUGAACUCCAAAUAUUUAAAUGCACUGUUUCCCUCCCUAGAAAAUGGCCGACUUUGCCUCUUUUGAGGAGCAGGAGUGAAUGGUUGGCUGUGUUUUGCUACCACCAGAAACUUUGAAGAUUACCCAUCAUUUAGUUUUUCUAAGGACCCAGAAAACGAAGGCGGUGGGAGAACCUAUUCAAUUAAGUAAAUAUGUUUUGGAAAAUUAUCAUUAUAGAUAACUAUAGGAACUCAGUGUUCAGGCUAACAAAAGAGCUGCUAAUGUAAUGUUUGCUAGCUAACUUAGUAAAUUAAAUAUCACCAGCUAGCUAACUUCAUAUAGAUAUUUAGCUAUCUGCUAUCUGCUGUCUGCAGAUUAAUAUGUCCCAAUGAAUGUCGCAAGAGAAUAAGGGUACGUCCUUGUGUAACGUAUAACUUUAAACCGUCCCCUCGUCCAUACCAGAGCGUGAACCAGGGACCCUCUGCACACAACAGUCACCAACGUAGCAUCGUUACCCAUCACUCCACAAAAGCCACGGCCCUUGCAGAGCAAGGGGAACCACUACUUCAAGGUCUCAGAGCAAGUGACGUCACCGAUUGAAACGCUAUUUAGCGCGCACCACCGCUAACUAGCUAGCCGUUUCACAUCCGUUACACUUGUAUACCAUAGGUUCGACACAGUGUAUACAAAACAUUAAGGACACCUGCUCUUUCCAUGACAGACUGACCUGGUGAAAGCUAUGAUCCCUUUUUGUUGUCACUCGUUAAAUCCACUUCAAUCAGUGUAGAUAAAGGGGAGGAAACAGGUUAAAGAAGGAUUUGGUCGUAGGUGCCAGGCGCACCAGUUUGUGUCAAGCACUGCAAUGCUGCUGGGUUUUUCACGCUCAACAGUUUUCCGUGUUAAUCAACAAUCGUCCACCACCCUAGGAACAUCCAGCCAACUUGACACAGCUGUGGGAAGCAUCAGAUGUGGGUGCAACUCAAUAUUAGGAAGGUGUUUAUGUUUAGUAUACUCAGUGUAUGUGUACUUAUGUUAGCAGAUUGUGUAAGCAAAAAAUACAGUAACACACCAUGUGUAAACCUAUUAUGACUGGAGCAGACCAGCCCUGUUGGCUUCGUGUGCAGGUUUCGGUUCCAGCCCAGCACUAACACACCGUAUUCAAUUUAUCAAACCUAAUUAGUUGAUAAUUUAAGUGUGCUAUUGCUGGGCUGGAAUAUAAAUCUGCUCACUCAGUGGCGCAAGGUUGGCCACUGUUGGUAUGCACUUUUUUUUCUUCACCUGAAAUGAUGCUUUAGUAAUAAUAGCGAACUUGUUACUAAGAUUUCUAACCAUUACAUAUGACUUAGCUUACUUGUACACUUUGAAAUGACAAAUAGGGUUGAUUCUUUGAAGUGAAGGGUUUAAACUUGUUUUAAUUUGUUAACUUGACUAAUAUUCAAGAUGAACUAGUGUCAAUGUUGAUUAAUCACAGAUCACAAUUGUGCAAUAAAGAUAGGAAGGGAAUCUA